rnacentral:rRNA from 1 species
UACAGAGGUCUCAAGCGUUGUUCGGAUUCAUUGGGCGUAAAGGGUGCGUAGGUGGCGCCGUAAGUCGGGUGUGAAAUUUCGGAGCUUAACUCCGAAACUGCAUUCGAUACUGCGGUGCUUGAGGACUGGAGAGGAGACUGGAAUUCCUGGUGUAGCGGUGAAAUGCGCAGAUAUCAGGAGGAACACCGAUGGCGAAGGCAGGUCUCUGGGCCAUAACUGACGCUGAGAAGCGAAAGCAUGGGGAGCGAACAGG